rnacentral:rRNA from 1 species
CAAUAACGUAUAUUAAAGUUGUUGCAGUUAAAAAGCUCGUAGUUGGAUUUCUGGUCGGAAGCUCCUGUCCUCUGAUGAGCGUACAAGUGCGUCCUACCAUCCUUCUGUUAACCUUUAAGGCUUUCGCGGCUUUCUAGGGGCUCAGAUAUUUUACCUUGAGAAAAUUAGAGUGUUUCAGGCAGGCUAGCGCCGGAAUACAUUAGCAUGGAAUAAUGGAAUAGGACUUUUGCCUCUUCUGUUGGUCAUGAGGCUCGAGUAAUGAUUAAUAGGGAUAGUUGGGGGCAUUAGUACUUAACUGUCAGAGGUGAAAUUCUCGGAUUUGUUAAAGACUAACUUAUGCGAAAGCAUUUGCCAAGGAUGUUUUCAUUAA